rnacentral:rRNA from 1 species
UACGUAGGGUGCAAGCGUUGUCCGGAAUUAUUGGGCGUAAAGCGUGCGUAGGUGGUUCGUUAAGUCUGAUGUGAAAGCCCUGGGCUCAACCUGGGAAUGGCAUUGGAUACUGGCGACCUAGAGUGCGGUAGAGGGGUGUGGAAUUCCCGGUGUAGCAGUGAAAUGCGUAGAUAUCGGGAGGAACAUCUGUGGCGAAGGCGACACCCUGGACCAGCACUGACACUGAGGCACGAAAGCGUGGGGAGCAAACAGG